rnacentral:rRNA from 1 species
UACGGAGGGAGCGAGCGUUGUUCGGAAUCACUGGGCGUAAAGCGUACGUAGGCGGUCCUGCAAGUCAGGAGUGAAAGCCCAGGGCUUAACCUUGGAAUUGCUCUUGAAACUGCAAGACUAGAGUCCCGGAGAGGUUGGCGGAAUUCCGAGUGUAGAGGUGAAAUUCGCAGAUAUUCGGAGGAACACCAGUGGCGAAAGCGGCCAACUGGACGGGAACUGACGCUGAGGUACGAAAGCGUGGGGAGCAAACAGG